rnacentral:rRNA from 1 species
AACGAACGCUGGCGGCAUGCCUAACACAUGCAAGUCGAACGAGACCUUCGGGUCUAGUGGCGCACGGGUGCGUAACGCGUGGGAACCUGCCCUUAGGUUCGGAAUAACUCCCCGAAAGGGGUGCUAAUACCGGAUAAUGUCUUCGGACCAAAGAUUUAUCGCCUUUGGAUGGGCCCGCGUUGGAUUAGCUAGUUGGUAGGGUAAAAGCCUACCAAGGCGACGAUCCAUAGCUGGUCUAGAGGAUGAUCAGCCACACUGGGACUGAGACACGGCCCAGACUCCUACGGGAGGCAGCAGUGGGGAAUAUUGGACAAUGGGCGAAAGCCUGAUCCAGCAAUGCCGCGUGAGUGAUGAAGGCCUUAGGGUUGUAAAGCUCUUUUACCCGGGAUGAUAAUGACAGUACCGGGAGAAUAAGCUCCGGCUAACUCCGUG